rnacentral:rRNA from 1 species
UACAGAGGUGCCAAGCGUUAGGCGGAAUCACUGGGCUUGAAGCGCGUGUAGGCGGGUCGUUAAGUGUCUUGUGAAAUCCCACGGCUCAACCGUGGAACUGCUGGGCAUACUGACGAUCUUGAGGCACUCAGGGGCUGUCGGAACAAAUGGUGGAGCGGUGAAAUGCGUAGAUAUCAUUUGGAACGCCAACGGUGAAAACAGACAGCUGGGGGUGUCCUGACGCUGAGACGCGAAAGCCAGGGGAGCGAACGGG